rnacentral:lncRNA from 1 species
CGUCAGGCCGCCACGCAGUCACUAUUCUCCCGGCGCCCCACGGGGCAGCACGUACUGCGCAGACUCCGCGCUGUGGCCGGCCGCCAAUGCGCCCAGAGGAGGUGGGCUGAGAACGAGUGGCGCGUCCCUGAGGGGGCCUAGGUCGGCUGGGCAGCCGUCGAGUACCACGAGGCGCGCGGGGACCCGUGGCUAUGGUGCCCACUGGGAGGCUCGGGAGUGUGAGGCCGCGGGGCCGCAGCCGCCCACCGCGCCUCUCCCCGCCCCGCGUUCCGCCGCCAGUCGUCGUGCUGCAAGCCGGGCCAAGCGUCUUGAAGGAGGCGUGAGCCUAACAAAACGUGCGGCGCUCAACUGCGGACUAAAUCAAAGAGUAUUUCACACCUUCUCUGGCAGAAACCUUUUCACCAUUUUAGGACUCCUUCUUUUGAAAGUCUGGAAACAGAAGAGAAGAAUGGUAAAAAGAAAAAAAGGGGAAAUACUUUCUCCUUUUCAUGAAAAGAGCCCUGACCUUUGGAAAAGGGAUUCCCUGCUUGUACUUGACCAGAGACUUCACCCCACCCACAGUUGCCUCCUAGGAAUCUUUCUACUCCAGGCCCAUUUCAAGAGCUACCUCUUCCAGGAAGCCUUUCCUGAUGCUCCACCUCCUCAUCUUCUACAUUUCUGCAGUGUUUUGAAUCUCUCACGGGAAAGCCCUUCUUCUAAAUAUGCCUGUACCUGCCUUCCAGUUUGUGGGGGUCUCUUUCCAAUCACAUAUGUCAGUGGGGCUCAGCCAGGAAUAUGUCAAUCCUGGAGCUAAGCAAAGAUGUCUGCUGCUUAGAUUGAAUAGUGUACUUUGUUUCUUUGUUCACAGAAUGUGAACAGAGGGAAUGUUAACCCCUGUACUUAACUGGGGAAUAUCAGCACUAUCAUGGCUUGGGCUCUACCCCUGACCUGUUAAAAUAAAUUCUGCCUGACCACCUGUAGAUUUUUUAAA